CGAACAACAUUCGGAGCGUCGGUCUACCGAGCGAUUUAACCAGCUCGUUGGAAGAUCUUCCCUUUGUCGUAUAUC
rnacentral:pre_miRNA from 1 species